AUCUUAAUUCUACUUUUUCCUCAGCUUCAGAAUUACAGCGACAAAUUUUCCUUUCAGAGCACCAUGUGAGCAGCAGCUGUAAUCACCAGGACAGGACACGUACAUGGAAAUCAGAAUGUUAAACUCCUGUGGAGAAUUUCUUUUGCCUUCUCUUAUACUCCAGGAAGAAGCAUUCUACAGACAAGAAAUCAAGCUUCUUCCUUCAGAUGGCCAAGCUGUGAGUCUUGGCUGCCUUGUCAGAUGAUGAGGAAUGGCUAUAGUUAUCAAGAGAGCAACUACUUCAAACCAAGUUCACAGAAGUCAGCAGUCCCAGCUGACAUCACAGACAGAUGAAGUGAAUGCACUGAUAAAAAAGAUGUCUUUGCCUCAGAAUUCAGUAUGCCUCCCAUUAUUUGCGUCAUCAGCACAUUUCAGCAGAUUUCCAUUGAAAACUGCACGACAUUGAGAUAAGAACCAUCAAACAGCGGUGAGAACUUUGCUCACUUCUCCUCAUUAACUCUGCUGGAUUUGACAGCUUUGAUUUGAGGUUUGCAUUUUUGCACUCAACCAGUCAGAGAGGAUUCCUCUGUCAGAGGAAGCAAGACAUCCAAAUCUGGCCAGCUUCUCUUACAUGCAAACCAGUUUGCACAGUCUCUUCCUUCUACUCAGAGGAAGCCUCUUUUCCCAUUCUGAAACCGCAACCCAGGAGAGAUGAUUCCCCAUGAAUAAUACAGGACUAUUAAAAACACUGAAUUGCCACUUAAGAGGGCAGUAGAUUUCCCAGAAGGAUCACUUUUCGU